rnacentral:rRNA from 1 species
UAAGGUUAAAGAGCCGCGGUAUAUUGACCGUGCAAAGGUAGCAUAAUCAUUAGUUCUUUAAUUGAGAACUGGUAUGAAUGGUUCGACAAAGGAAAAGCUGUCUAUAUAUUAAAUAUAAAACUUAACUUUUGAGUGAAAAGGCUUAAAUUUCUCAAGGGGACGACAAGACCCUAUAAAGCAUUUUGUUGGGGCGACAGAGGUAAAAUUAUUAACUGCUGUAAAUAAAAUACAGCAAUGGCUGAAAAGAUCCUUAUUAAAGAUUUAAAGAUCAAGUUACUUUAGGGAUAACAGCGUAAUUUCUUUUGAGAGUCCAUAUCGAAAAAGAAGAUUGCGACCUCGAUGUUGAAUUAAGAUUUCUUUAUUGUGCAGCCGCAAUAAAAGAAGGUCUGUUCGACCUUUAAAUUCUU